AUUGAACGCUGGCGGCAUGCCUCACACAUGCAAGUCGAACGGCAGCACGGGAGCAAUCCUGGUGGCGAGUGGCGAACGGGUGAGUAAAGUAUCGGAACGUGCCCAGUCGUGGGGGAUAACGUAGCGAAAGUCACGCUAAUACCGCAUACGAUCUAUGGAUGAAAGCGGGGGAUCGCAAGACCUCGCGCGAUUGGAGCGGCAGAUAUCAGAUUAGGUAGUUGGUGGGGUAAAGGCUCACCAAGCCGACGAUCUGUAGCUGGUCUGAGAGGACGACCAGCCACACUGGGACUGAGACACGGCCCAGACUCCUACGGGAGGCAGCAGUGGGGAAUUUUGGACAAUGGGCGAAAGCCUGAUCCAGCCAUGCCGCGUGCAGGAUGAAGGCCUUCGGGUUGUAAACUGCUUUUGUACGGAACGAAAAGGUUUGGCCUAAUAAGCUGAGCUCAUGACGGUACCGUAAGAAUAAGCACCGGCUAACUACGUGCCAGCCGCCGCGGUAA
rnacentral:rRNA from 1 species